rnacentral:rRNA from 1 species
ACUGGCGUCAGGAUGAACGCUGGCGGCGUGCCUAACACAUGCAAGUCGAACGGAGAUUAACGCUGAUGAGGCUUCGGCCAAGUCUUGUUAAAUCUUAGUGGCGGACGGGUGAGUAACGCGUGGGCAACCUGCCUCGUACUGGGGGAGUAACAGUUGGAACGACUGUUAAUACCGCAUAAGCGCACGGUGUCGCAUGACACAGUGUGAAAAACUCCGGUGGUACGAGAUGGGCCCGCGUCAGAUUAGCCAGUUGGUGGGGUAACGGCCUACCAAAGCAACGAUCUGUAGCCGGACUGAGAGGUCGGACGGCCACAUUGGGACUGAGACACGGCCCAAACUCCUACGGGAGGCAGCAGCGGGGGAUAUUGCACAAUGGGCGAAAGCCUGAUGCAGCGACGCCGCGUGAAGUGAAGAAGUAUUUCGGUAUGUAAAGCUCUAUCAGCAGGGAAGAAAGACUCGAAAGAGAGAUGACGGUACCUGACUAAGAAGCCCCGGCUAACUACGUGCCAGCAGCGGC